rnacentral:rRNA from 1 species
UACGAAGGGGGCUAGCGUUGUUCGGAAUUACUGGGCGUAAAGGGCGCGUAGGCGGUGUGUCAAGUCAGGCGUGAAAGCCCCGGGCUCAACCUGGGAACCGCGCUUGAGACUGGCACGCUCGAGUUCGGGAGAGGAUGGUGGAAUUCCCAGUGUAGAGGUGAAAUUCGUAGAUAUUGGGAAGAACACCGAUGGCGAAGGCAGCCAUCUGGACCGACACUGACGCUGAGGCACGAAGGCCAGGGGAGCAAACGGG